AUUAGACACAACUUUGGUUGACUUCAAUGACAUGAGAUAGGAGAGAGGGGACAUAACUUUUGUUUUUGAUGGGGAUGCCCCCUAUAAUGAAGGAUUAACGGUUCUGGACAACAAAUUACGUGUAUAUCAAAAAAUCAGAUCACAGUGCCACUGGUUUCUCGCAUACUUCCCUCUGAUGUCUGCCAAAUCCAUAAAAAAGGGAGUUGUUUAAGAUUAGACACAACUUUGGUUGACUUCAAUGACAUGAGAUAGGAGAGAGGGGACAUAACUUUUGUUUUUGAUGGGGAUGCCCCCUAUAAUGAAGGAUUAACGGUUCUGGACAACAAAUUACGUGUAUAUCAAAAAAUCAGA